UACGUAGGGGGCAAGCGUUGUCCGGAAUUAUUGGGCGUAAAGAGCGCGUAGGCGGUCCGGUAAGUCAGCUGUGAAAGUCAAGGGCUCAACCCUUGAAAGCCGGUUGAUACUGUCGGGCUAGAGUCCGGAAGAGGCGAGUGGAAUUCCCGGUGUAGCGGUGAAAUGCGUAGAUAUCGGGAGGAACAUCAGUGGCGAAGGCGGCUGCCUGGCCCAAUACUGACACUCAGGUGCGACAGCGUGGGGAGCAAACAGG
rnacentral:rRNA from 1 species